UGGCCUAUAUAUAUAUACGAGGAGGUCCAUUUCCCUCCACAAGUGUCGAACAAGCAAAGUUGUUUCAGAAUGAAGGGACUGGUGCUCAUCUUGGUGCUCGGCGUCCUCGCUGUCACAGGAGUGUCAGCUCGGGAAGACGAGGACCUCCGCGUACUCGGCAAAUCACCGACUA